rnacentral:rRNA from 1 species
AUUGAACGCUGGCGGCAGGCUUAACACAUGCAAGUCGAGCGAGCGGCGGACGGGUGAGUAAUGUCUGGGAAACUGCCUGAUGGAGGGGGAUAACAACUGGAAACGGUAGCUAAUACCGCACAUCAGGAGAUGUGCCCAGAUGGGUUUAGCUAGUUGGUGGGGUAAGGGCGCACCUAGGCGACGAUCCAUAGCUGGUCUGAGAGGAUGACCAGGCACCCUGCAACUGAGACAGGGUCCAGACUCCUACGGUAGGCAGCAGUGGAGAAUAUUGCACAAUGGGCGCAAGCCUGAUGCAGCCAUGCCGAGUGGCGGAAUGAGGCCUUCGGGUUGUAAAGCACUUUCAGCGAGGAGGCGUUAUUCGCAGAAUAAGCACCGGCUAACUCCGUGCCAGCAGCCGCGGUAAUAC